rnacentral:rRNA from 1 species
AAUACAGAGACUGCAAGCGUUAUUCGGAUUCACUGGGCGUAAAGGGUGCGCAGGCGGUUGGGUGUGUCAGAUGUGAAAUCCCGAGGCUUAACCUCGGAACUGCGUCUGAAACUACUCGACUAGAGUAUUGGAGAGGGUAACGGAAUUCACGGUGUAGCAGUGGAAUGCGUAGAUAUCGUGAGGAACACCAGAGGCGAAGGCGGUUACCUGGACAAUUACUGACGCUCAGGCACGAAAGCAUGGGGAGCAAAAGGGA